rnacentral:rRNA from 1 species
GACGAACGCUGGCGGCGUGCUUAACACAUGCAAGUCGAACGAGUGGCGAACGUGUGAGGAACACGGGGGUGAUCUGCCUUGCACUUCGGGAUAUGCUUCGGCAACUGGGGCUAAUACCUGAGAGUGCAAGAUGAACUGGCGGCCUAUCAGCUUGUUGGUGGGGUAAUGGCCACCAAGGCGCGACGUGUAGCCGGCCUGAGAGGGUGUCCGGCCACAUUGGGACUGAGAUACGGCCCGUACUCCUACGGGAGGCAGCAGUGGGGAAUAUUGCACGAUGGGCGGAAGCCUGAUGCAGCAACGCCGCGUGGGGGAUGAAGGCCUUCGGGUUGUAAACUCCUUUCGACAGGGACGCGGUACCUGUAUAAGAAGCACCGGCUAACUACGUGCCAGCAGCCGCGGUAAUUC